GAUGAACGCUAGCGGCAGGCUUAACACAUGCAAGUCGAGGGGUAUAGUUCUUCGGAGCUAGAGACCGGCGCACGGGUGCGUAACGCGUAUGCAAUCUACCUUUUGCAGAGGGAUAGCCCAGAGACAUUUCGAUUAAUACCUCAUGGUAUGUGAGAAUGGCAUCAUUUUCACAUUAAAGUCACAACGGCACAAGAUGACCAUGCGUCCCAUAAGCUAGUAGGUAAGGUAACGGCUUACCAAGGCAACGGUGGGUAGGGGUCGUGAGAGGGAGAUCCCCCACAAUGGUACGGAGACACGGACCAGACUCCUACGGGAGGCAGCAGUGAGGGAAAUUGGACAAUGGGCGCAAGCCUGAUCCAGCCAUGCCGCGUGCAGGAUGACGGUCCUAUGGAUUGUAAACUGCUUUUGUACAGGAAGAAACACUGGUUCGUGAACCAGCUUGACGGUACUGUAAGAAUAAGGGUCGGCUAACUCCGUGCCAGCAGCCGCCGUAAUAC
rnacentral:rRNA from 1 species